CAAAAACAUGGCCUUUUGGAGAUUUAUAUAAAAGGUUGGGCCUGCCCGGUGAUCUGAAAUGGUUUAACGGCUGCGAUUGAAACCGUACUAAGGUAGCAUAAUAAUUUGCCCUUUAAUUGGGGGAGAGAAUGAAUGGUUUGACGGUAAAAAAGCUGUUUUAAAAAUAAAAAAAGAAGUUAACUUUUAAGUGAAAAGGCUUAAGUUUUUAUAAAAGACGAGAAGACCCCGUCGAGCUUAAUUAGAAUAACUUAAAUGUAGGUUAUUUAAAAUUUUAUUGGGGCAAUAGAAAAUGAAAUGAAUCAUUUUUUUUAUUAUAAGGAUCCAGUUUUGACUGAAAAAAGCAAAAGCUACCGCGGGGAUAACAGGGUAAUUUUUUCUGAGAGUUCAUAUUUAAGAAGAAGUUUGCUACCUCGAUGUUGGAUUAGAAUUUCUUUAUGCUUGCAGCAGGUAUAAUAGUAGGACUGUUCGUCCUUUAAAAUUUUACGUGAUCUGAG
rnacentral:rRNA from 1 species